UGCUAACCGAACUCACACUUGUUUAAUAGCAGGCUUAUGAGAGUUUAAGCGAUGGCCUUGGUAGGAGUGCCUCGGCUCUUUUUGGUACUCCUCUGAAGGUCUACCAGCAUGGAGCAGGUGCGAGGUCGGCUCUAACUUCUGCUUUCCGAGCAGCUCCUGCUGCUGCGAUAGCUCCCGUCUCUGCUUCUGCUCGUGCCGUUCACUGUGCACUUCUUGGACUGCGAAACAGCUUAGAUCCUGAACACAAAAAGAAGUCCAUGGACAAAUAUUGGGGACCUUCAUGAUCAUAGUACCAAUUGUGAAGAAAAGGUUAGUCGGAAAAGAUAGAUUGACACGAUUUCAGCAAAAUGCUGAUUUGUACAGUUUUGCACUAAGUUUUAUGAUUUAAUGUGGAGCUCAAGUUACAACUUAGAAUGGUAUUGCUAUAACACCAUGCCCCUUCGUUGCUUGAACUAAUUAUCAGAUGAUCAUCGCCUGCCAAGAUUGUAAGGUGCUUGUAGGUGAUGCAUUUCCGAAGUCUUUUUGUUAUGAUGCUACAGAGAGAUCUUAACUUACUGUGCUCCAACUGUAUUUAGGCAUCUGAGUACUAAUUAUUUGAUUUCAUGAUGUUGUUUUCUUUUAUUGCUUGUUUCCCGUGUCCCGUGGUGGUCAUAUUGGAUGUGAAUGGUUUACAUAUCUUUUUGCAGAUGAGCUCUAUAUGAUCGAUUUGGUGUAUUUUUCGAUGAUGAGUUACCAAUGAAAACUGGAAUUUGUUAUUUGCAAAAGUUUGCUACCUUUCUAGUUAUUAUGUAGAAACUAGCAUAUAAUUCAAGAGAAUGUUUCACAACAUUCUGUGAUGAGUGUUGUCAACCCACUACUCUGAACUUGCUUCUAUUUCUUCCUCUUUGCUCUAAUUGUCUUUGUGUUUUUCAGAGUCUUUUGUAACAUGGCAUCAUCUAGCUUUUGGAACUUUCGUAUCUAUUUCGUGCUUGCUAACAUUGUACUAGUCGUAAUUUUCAGAUUUGUCACGACGACUUGAUCAUAGACCAUCAACUUGUAACAGUACUCUGAUUUUUAAGUGUAAAUUAUGAAGAAACUCUCAUUGGAUGCUACAUACAUGUCGGCAAUGAAAAGCAAGAUGCUGGGUCUCCUCAAUCCCCACUAGGUAGCGGGACGGAUGUCUUUGAUCUACCUUUCCACAUGGCUAGAGAUCAAAUAGAAGAGAGUUUACGGACCAAGAUGGCUUCUAUUAAGGUUCAAGUAUAUAGUCGUGGGGCUGAUCAGAAUUCGUUUAUGCACUUUUUGAUUUUUCUUAUCAAACAAUUUUUAUUUUUUUGUAUUUUUUUCAGUUAGAGAGUUUAAUUUGUUAUAAUUACUACAACAUAUGAGUGGAUAUUGUUGUUGUGACGUAUGGAUAUUUGAUUUUAGUUUUAUCAUUUUAACGAGAAUUUAAGGAACUUUGUUGAUUGCUUUUUUUUUUUA